AAUAUUGGACAAUGGGGGCAACCCUGAUCCAGCCAUGCCGCGUGGAGGAAGACGGCCUUUGGGUUGUAAACUCCUUUUAUAUGAGACUAAUAAGGUGGUAUACUCACCGAUGCAGGUACCAUAUGAAUAAGCACCGGCUAACUACGUGCCAGCAGCCGCGGUAAUACGUAGGGUGCAAGCGUUGUCCGGAUUUAUUGGGUUUAAAAGGUGCGUAGGCGGUUUAUUAAGUCAGUGGUUAAAUACUGAGGCUCAACCUUGGUCCGCCAUUGAUACUGGUAAACUUGAGUAUGUUAGAGGAAAUUGGAAUGUGUGGUGUAGCGGUGAAAUGCAUAGAUAUCACACAGAACACCGAUUGCGAAGGCAGAUUUCUAUAACACAACUGACGCUGAGGCACGAAAGCGUGGGGAGCGAACAGGAUUAGAUACCCUGGUAGUCCACGCUGUA
rnacentral:rRNA from 1 species